rnacentral:rRNA from 1 species
AUUGAACGCUGGCGGCAUGCCUAACACAUGCAAGUCGAACGGGGCAGCAAUGCCUAGUGGCGGACGGGUGAGGAAUACGUAGGAAUCUGCCCUUAAGUGGGGGAUAACCAGGGGAAACCCUGACUAAUACCGCAUGAUCUCUUCGGAGCAAAGAGGGGGACCGCAAGGCCUCUCGCUUCUGGAUGAGCCUACGUCUGAUUAGCUAGUUGGUAGGGUAAAGGCCUACCAAGGCGACGAUCAGUAACUGGUCUGAGAGGAUGAUCAGUCACACCGGAACUGAGACACGGUCCGGACUCCUACGGGAGGCAGCAGUGGGGAAUAUUGGACAAUGGGCGCAAGCCUGAUCCAGCAAUGCCGCGUGUGUGAAGAAGGCCUUCGGGUUGUAAAGCACUUUAGCCUGGAAAGAAAAAGCUUUGGUUAACACCCAAAGUCUUGACGGUACCAGGAGAAUAAGCACCGGCUAACUCUGUGCCAGCCGCCGCGGUAAAAC